rnacentral:tmRNA from 1 species
GGGGGCGACCUGGUUUCGACGUGGGUUGCAAAGCAAUGUAGGGCAUACCGAGGACCAGUGACCUCGUAAAUCCAUCUGGAAACCUUAUAGUUGCCAACGACGACAACUACGCCCUAGCCGCUUGACGGCUAGGCUCUGCACCGAUUCUUCUCUGGGUCGGAGCCCGGGCAACCGGGUUGCAGAGUCAUUUACAGAGAAUCGCAAGCAGGGUGGGGUCGCUUCAUCCGCUGCUAAAACCAAGGCGACUCGCCCGAACACAGUCCGUCGGUUGACGGUGUAACGGUUAAAUCCAAAUAGCCUGACUAAGUAUGUAGAACUGCUUGUAGAGAGCUUACGGACGCGGGUUCGAUUCCCG